UGCGUAGGUGGUGAGGUAAGUCGGAUGUGAAAUCUCGGAGCUCAACUCCGAAACUGCAUUGGAAACUACCUUGCUCGAGGAAUGGAGGGGGGACUGGAAUUCUCGGUGUAGCAGUGAAAUGCGUAGAUAUCGAGAGGAACACCAGUGGCGAAGGCGAGUCCCUGGACAUCUCCUGACACUGAGGCACGAAAGCUAGGGGAGCAAACA
rnacentral:rRNA from 1 species